GCAGUCGAGCGACGGACGAGAGCUUGCUUCUCUGAUGUUAGCGGCGGACGGGUGAGUAACACGUGGAUAACCUACCUAUAAGACUGGGAUAACUUCGGGAAACCGGAGCUAAUACCGGAUAAUAUUUUGAACCGCAUGGUUCAAAAGUGAAAGACGGUCUUGCUGUCACUUAUAGAUGGAUCCGCGCUGCAUUAGCUAGUUGGUAAGGUAACGGCUUACCAAGGCAACGAUGCAUAGCCGACCUGAGAGGGUGAUCGGCCACACUGGAACUGAGACACGGUCCAGACUCCUACGGGAGGCAGCAGUAGGGAAUCUUCCGCAAUGGGCGAAAGCCUGACGGAGCAACGCCGCGUGAGUGAUGAAGGUCUUCGGAUCGUAAAACUCUGUUAUUAGGGAAGAACAUAUGUGUAAGUAACUGUGCACAUCUUGACGGUACCUAAUCAGAAAGCCACGGCUAACUACGUGCCAGCAGCCGCGGUAAUACGUAGGUGGCAAGCGUUAUCCGGAAUUAUUGGGCGUAAAGCGCGCGUAGGCGGUUUUUUAAGUCUGAUGUGAAAGCCCACGGCUCAACCGUGGAGGGUCAUUGGAAACUGGAAAACUUGAGUGCAGAAGAGGAAAGUGGAAUUCCAUGUGUAGCGGUGAAAUGCGCAGAGAUAUGGAGGAACACCAGUGGCGAAGGCGACUUUCUGGUCUGUAACUGACGCUGAUGUGCGAAAGCGUGGGGAUCAAACAGGAUUAGAUACCCUGGUAGUCCACGCCGUAAACGAUGAGUGCUAAGUGUUAGGGGGUUUCCGCCCCUUAGUGCUGCAGCUAACGCAUUAAGCACUCCGCCUGGGGAGUACGACCGCAAGGUUGAAACUCAAAGGAAUUGACGGGGACCCGCACAAGCGGUGGAGCAUGUGGUUUAAUUCGAAGCAACGCGAAGAACCUUACCAAAUCUUGACAUCCUUUGACAACUCUAGAGAUAGAGCUUUCCCCUUCGGGGGACAAAGUGACAGGUGGUGCAUGGUUGUCGUCAGCUCGUGUCGUGAGAUGUUGGGUUAAGUCCCGCAACGAGCGCAACCCUUAAGCUUAGUUGCCAUCAUUAAGUUGGGCACUCUAAGUUGACUGCCGGUGACAAACCGGAGGAAGGUGGGGAUGACGUCAAAUCAUCAUGCCCCUUAUGAUUUGGGCUACACACGUGCUACAAUGGACAAUACAAAGGGCAGCGAAACCGCGAGGUCAAGCAAAUCCCAUAAAGUUGUUCUCAGUUCGGAUUGUAGUCUGCAACUCGACUACAUGAAGCUGGAAUCGCUAGUAAUCGUAGAUCAGCAUGCUACGGUGAAUACGUUCCCGGGUCUUGUACACACCGCCCGUCACACCACGAGAGUUUGUAACACCCGAAGCCGGUG
rnacentral:rRNA from 1 species